rnacentral:misc_RNA from 1 species
UCCGGCUUGUCACCGGCAGUUUCUCCAAAGUGCCCGGCCGAACCGCUGGCAACUGGAGACGAGGGUUGCGCUCGUUGCGGGACUUAACCCAACAUCUCACGACACGAGCUGACGACAGCCAUGCAGCACCUGUGUCCAGGUUCCCUUUCGGGCACCCCUCCAUCUCUGGAGGGUUCCUGGCAUGUCAAGGGUAGGUAAGGUUUUUCGCGUUGCAUCGAAUUAAUCCACAUCAUCCACCGCUUGUGCGGGUCCCCGUCAAUUCCUUUGAGUUUUAAUCUUGCGACCGUACUCCCCAGGCGGUCGACUUCACGCGUUAGCUGCGGUACUAAGGAGUUACCCUCCGACAACUAGUCGACAUCGUUUAGGGCGUGGACUAC